CCUACGGGUGGCUGCAGUAGGGAAUCUUCCACAAUGGGCGAAAGCCUGAUGGAGCCACGCCGCGUGGGUGAAGAAGGUCUUCGGAUCGUAAAACCCUGUUGUUAGAGAAGCAAGUGCGUGAGAGUAACUGUUCACGUUUCGACGGUAUCUAACCAGAACGCCACGGCUAACUCCGUUCCCGCCGCCGCGGUAAUACGUAGGUGGCAAGCGUUAUCCGGAUUUAUUGGGCGUAAAGGGAACGCAGGCGGUCUUUUAAGUCUGAUGUGAAAGCCUUCGGCUUAACCGGAGUAGUGCAUUGGAAACGGGGAGACUUGAGUGCAGAAGAGGAGAGGGGAACUCCAGGUGUAGCGGUGAAAUGCGUAGAUAUAUGGAAGAACACCAGUGGCGAAAGCGGCUCCCUGGUCUGUAACGGACGCUGAGGUUCGAAAGCGUGGGUAGCAAACAGGAUUAGAUACCGUGGUAGC
rnacentral:rRNA from 1 species